rnacentral:rRNA from 1 species
AUACGGAGGGUGCGAGCGUUAAUCGGAAUUACUGGGCGUAAAGCGCGCGUAGGCGGUUUGGUCAGUCGGAUGUGAAAGCCCUGGGCUCAACCCAGGAACUGCAUUCGAUACUGCCUGACUAGAGUAUGGUAGAGGGAAGUGGAAUUUCCGGUGUAGCGGUGAAAUGCGUAGAUAUCGGAAGGAACACCAGUGGCGAAGGCGACUUCCUGGGCCAAUACUGACGCUGAGGUGCGAAAGCGUGGGGAGCAAACAGGAUUAGAAACCCCGGUAGUCC